UGGCAGUCAGAGGCGAUGAAGGACGUGCUAAUCUGCGAUAAGCGUCGGUAAGGUGAUAUGAACCGUUAUAACCGGCGAUUUCCGAAUGGGGAAACCCAGUGUGAUUCGUCACACUAUCAUUAACUGAAUCCAUAGGUUAAUGAGGCGAACCGGGGGAACUGAAACAUCUAAGUACCCCGAGGAAAAGAAAUCAACCGAGAUUCCCCCAGUAGCGGCGAGCGAACGGGGAGCAGCCCAGAGCCUGAAUCAGUGUGUGUGUUAGUGGAAGCGUCUGGAAAGGCGUGCGAUACAGGGUGACAGCCCCGUACACAAAAAUGCACAUACUGUGAGCUCGAUGAGUAGGGCGGGACACGUGGUAUCCUGUCUGAAUAUGGGGGGACCAUCCUCCAAGGCUAAAUACUCCUGACUGACCGAUAGUGAACCAGUACCGUGAGGGAAAGGCGAAAAGAACCCCGGCGAGGGGAGUGAAAAAGAACCUGAAACCGUGUACGUACAAGCAGUGGGAGCACGCUUAGGCGUGUGACUGCGUACCUUUUGUAUAAUGGGUCAGCGACUUAUAUUCUGUAGCAAGGUUAACCGAAUAGGGGAGCCGAAGGGAAACCGAGUCUUAACUGGGCGUUAAGUUGCAGGGUAUAGACCCGAAACCCGGUGAUCUAGCCAUGGGCAGGUUGAAGGUUGGGUAACACUAACUGGAGGACCGAACCGACUAAUGUUGAAAAAUUAGCGGAUGACUUGUGGCUGGGGGUGAAAGGCCAAUCAAACCGGGAGAUAGCUGGUUCUCCCCGAAAGCUAUUUAGGUAGCGCCUCGUGAAUUCAUCUCCGGGGGUAGAGCACUGUUUCGGCAAGGGGGUCAUCCCGACUUACCAACCCGAUGCAAACUGCGAAUACCGGAGAAUGUUAUCACGGGAGACACACGGCGGGUGCUAACGUCCGUCGUGAAGAGGGAAACAACCCAGACCGCCAGCUAAGGUCCCAAAGUCAUGGUUAAGUGGGAAACGAUGUGGGAAGGCCCAGACAGCCAGGAUGUUGGCUUAGAAGCAGCCAUCAUUUAAAGAAAGCGUAAUAGCUCACUGGUCGAGUCGGCCUGCGCGGAAGAUGUAACGGGGCUAAACCAUGCACCGAAGCUGCGGCAGCGACGCUUAUGCGUUGUUGGGUAGGGGAGCGUUCUGUAAGCCUGUGAAGGUGUGCUGUGAGGUAUGCUGGAGGUAUCAGAAGUGCGAAUGCUGACAUAAGUAACGAUAAAGCGGGUGAAAAGCCCGCUCGCCGGAAGACCAAGGGUUCCUGUCCAACGUUAAUCGGGGCAGGGUGAGUCGACCCCUAAGGCGAGGCCGAAAGGCGUAGUCGAUGGGAAACAGGUUAAUAUUCCUGUACUUGGUGUUACUGCGAAGGGGGGACGGAGAAGGCUAUGUUGGCCGGGCGACGGUUGUCCCGGUUUAAGCGUGUAGGCUGGUUUUCCAGGCAAAUCCGGAAAAUCAAGGCCGAGGCGUGAUGACGAGGCACUACGGUGCUGAAGCAACAAAUGCCCUGCUUCCAGGAAAAGCCUCUAAGCAUCAGGUAACAUCAAAUCGUACCCCAAACCGACACAGGUGGUCAGGUAGAGAAUACCAAGGCGCUUGAGAGAACUCGGGUGAAGGAACUAGGCAAAAUGGUGCCGUAACUUCGGGAGAAGGCACGCUGAUACGUAGGUGAAGCGACUUGCUCGUGGAGCUGAAAUCAGUCGAAGAUACCAGCUGGCUGCAACUGUUUAUUAAAAACACAGCACUGUGCAAACACGAAAGUGGACGUAUACGGUGUGACGCCUGCCCGGUGCCGGAAGGUUAAUUGAUGGGGUUAGCGCAAGCGAAGCUCUUGAUCGAAGCCCCGGUAAACGGCGGCCGUAACUAUAACGGUCCUAAGGUAGCGAAAUUCCUUGUCGGGUAAGUUCCGACCUGCACGAAUGGCGUAAUGAUGGCCAGGCUGUCUCCACCCGAGACUCAGUGAAAUUGAACUCGCUGUGAAGAUGCAGUGUACCCGCGGCAAGACGGAAAGACCCCGUGAACCUUUACUAUAGCUUGACACUGAACAUUGAGCCUUGAUGUGUAGGAUAGGUGGGAGGCUUUGAAGUGUGGACGCCAGUCUGCAUGGAGCCGACCUUGAAAUACCACCCUUUAAUGUUUGAUGUUCUAACGUGGACCCGUGAUCCGGGUUGCGGACAGUGUCUGGUGGGUAGUUUGACUGGGGCGGUCUCCUCCUAAAGAGUAACGGAGGAGCACGAAGGUUGGCUAAUCCUGGUCGGACAUCAGGAGGUUAGUGCAAUGGCAUAAGCCAGCUUGACUGCGAGCGUGACGGCGCGAGCAGGUGCGAAAGCAGGUCAUAGUGAUCCGGUGGUUCUGAAUGGAAGGGCCAUCGCUCAACGGAUAAAAGGUACUCCGGGGAUAACAGGCUGAUACCGCCCAAGAGUUCAUAUCGACGGCGGUGUUUGGCACCUCGAUGUCGGCUCAUCACAUCCUGGGGCUGAAGUAGGUCCCAAGGGUAUGGCUGUUCGCCAUUUAAAGUGGUACGCGAGCUGGGUUUAGAACGUCGUGAGACAGUUCGGUCCCUAUCUGCCGUGGGCGCUGGAGAACUGAGGGGGGCUGCUCCUAGUACGAGAGGACCGGAGUGGACGCAUCACUGGUGUUCGGGUUGUCAUGCCAAUGGCACUGCCCGGUAGCUAAAU
rnacentral:rRNA from 1 species